UGCCAGACUCCUACGGGAGGCAGCAGUGAGGAAUAUUGGUCAAUGGGCGGGAGCCUGAACCAGCCAAGUCGCGUGAGGGAAGACGGUCCUAUGGAUUGUAAACCUCUUUAGGCGGGGAGCAAUGCCGGGCACGUGUGCCCGGAGGGAGAGUACCCGCAGAAUAAGCAUCGGCUAACUCCGUGCCAGCAGCCGCGGUAAUACGGAGGAUGCGAGCGUUAUCCGGAUUUAUUGGGUUUAAAGGGUGCGUAGGCGGAUUUUUAAGUCAGCGGUAAAAUGUCCGGGCUCAACCCGGGCCGGCCGUUGAAACUGGCGGCCUCGAGUGGGCGAGAAGUAUGCGGAAUGCGUGGUGUAGCGGUGAAAUGCAUAGAUAUCGCGCAGAACUCCGAUUGCGAAGGCAGCAUGCCGGCUCCACACUGACGCUGAGGCACGAAAGCGUGGGUAUCGAACAGGAUUAGAUACCCCCGUAGC
rnacentral:rRNA from 1 species